AGAGAUGGGAGCUAGAGAGAAAGACAGAUGAAGGGAAGGAAGAGGAGGAUGAAAGAGUGAAGGAAGAAUAGAGGGGGCGAGAGGAGGAAAGAGAGGGAGCUAGAUAGAAAGACCAACAGAGGGACCGAGAGGAAGAGAGCGAGCGAGAGUCCGAGAGAGACCGAGAAGGUGAACGAAAGGAGGAGGAGAGAGGAAAGAGGACGAGAGAGAGAAAUAAGGAGGUAGACGGAUAGGUAGUAGGAAAAGAGAGAGAGAAAGAGGAGGAUGAAAUAAGGAGAGUGAAAGAAUAAUAGAGAGGGCGAGAGGAGGGGAGAGAGAGAGAGAGAGGAGGGGGAGUGGCAGAGAAAGUGAAAGAUGAAGAGAGAGAGAGAGAGAGAGAGAGAAAGGAGGGGUGAGAGAGAGAGAGAGAGAGAGAGAGAGAGAGGGAGGGGAAAAAGUGGACACAAGUGGAGAAAAGUGUAAUCGGAAACCAUCCCUCCUUCUGUCGCUUCCUCAUCUCUCUCGCUCUCUCUCUCUCUCUCUUUCUCUCUCUCAGUAUGGAAUAGCUCAGCUCUUGGCUCACUCGUCUCUCUGAGUGAGUGUGUGUGUGAGUGUGUGGACGUUACUGACUGACCGGGACUCAGCUGCUGGAACUGAAACUCUUCUCAGAGGAGUCGUACUUCAGAGGAUUCAGAAUUCAGGACGAGCCCCGGGGAAGAGUGUGAAGGUCAGAGGUCAUGGGAAGGUCACCAGGGUCGGAGGUUCCUCUCCUCCUCCUCUUCAUCUCCUUCGUCUCCUCUCUCUCUCCGCCGCUGCCCAGAGUCUUCCUCCCCUUUCAAGAAAGUCAGGAUGGUAUCCUCAACAAGUUCACGUCACGUGAUAUCAACAUGGCCAUUCUCACCAUCAACAAUAAAAAAAAAUAUCACUGCUCUGACUGUAAAUGAGAUUAUAGUAGUAUAAUCUCAUCGUGGCUCAGGUGGUAGAGCGGGUUGUCCACUAAUCCUAGGGUUGGCAGUUUGAUUCCCGGCCCAUAUGACUCUACAUGAAUCUACUUGACUCCACAUGACUCCGCGUGACUCCUCGUGACUCCCCGUGACUCCGCAUGACUUCGCAUGACUCCGCAUGACUUUGCAUGACUCCUCAUGACUUCGCAUGAAUCUGCAUGACUUCGCAGGACUCCUCAUUACUCCGCAUGACUCCUCAUGACUUCGCAUGAAUCUGCAUGACUUCGCAGGACUCCUCAUGACUCCGCAUGACUCCGCAUGACUCCUCAUGACUUCGCAUGAAUCUGCAUGACUUCGCAUGACUCCGCAUGACUUCGCAUGACUCCUCAUGACUUCGCAUGAAUCUGCAUGACUUCGCAGGACUCCUCAUGACUCCGCAUGACUCCGCAUGACUCCGCAUGAGUUCACAUGACUCCACAUGACUCCACAUGGCUCCUCAUGACUCACUGAACCUCAAGUUUCUCCCAAUGGCAUGCUAGCACCUUGCGUGGCAGCUCUGCUAAGGUUAAAAAAGCGCUAUACGAGUGCCGACCAUUUACCAUUUGCAUUAGAUCAUAAACAUACACACAUUCAUGGGUUAAAUCUAUAACACAGUUCUUAGAAUCUAAACCCAUCACUAAUCUGACAAACAUUAGCUGGCUAAUUUAACGUUCCGUAAUCCUGAAAGGCUCUAAAGCACAGCCAGCCUUCCUCACACACACUCCCACACUCCUGCCUCCUCCCUCUGUGGGUCAGACGGAAACGAUGCGCCCUUCUCAGUGCCCUGUUGAUUUAUUACGGCUCGUCAGAAAUCUGCUUCGCUAGUCAUUCUGACCUGAGCUCAGGAGCGCAGUGGGGACUCCCGCGGGUAUGCGGCUUCACGACUGUUUGACGUCCGAUCUCUGCAAAGCAUCCUGCGGUCUGAUGAAAUGCAGACGAAGCGUUUUUCCAUGCGGAAGAUGCCAGAAGUCUUAGCGAGAGCUUCUCUGGAGCUCCUGCGUUUAAUGAUGAGAGGAAACACUGACACCGUGAACUAUAAUAAGUUGAUUUAAAUUUAGGACAAAAAAGCAGGGAAUGUUCCGGAAGAGGCAUAAGGAAAGAAUGUUCAUUUGUUUUCAGGUUUCUAACGGCGACUCGUAUCGGGUAUUUCAGACCAAGCUGUGUUUAAAUGUCCACCACAGUGUAGAAAAUUACACCUCAAGAAAACAAGACAUCUCCUUGUCCGUGUUGUUUCUUCUUUUUGCUUUGUCAUCAUGAGUGAGUCAGGGUGGGUUUUUUUUGCACAAUGUUCGAGGUUCCUAGGUGCAAAAUGUAAAUGGUCUGCACUUAUAUAGCUCUUUCUUUACCUUUGCGGUGCUACAAAGCGUUUUACACUGGUUCUCAUUCACACACACACCAAUGGUAGCAGAACUGCCAUGCAAGGCGCUGGCUUGCUAUCGGGAGCAACUUGGGUUCAGGGAGUCGUGUGGAGUCGUGUGGAGUCGUGUGGAAUCGUGGUGGAGUCCUGUGGAGUCGUGUGGAGUCCCGUGGAGUCGUGUGGAGUCGUGUGGAGUCGUGUGGAGUCGUGUGGAGUCCCGUGGAGUCGUGUGGAGUCGUUGUGGAGUCGUGUGGAGUCCCGUGGAGUCGUGUGGAGUCGUGUGGAGUCCUGUGGAGUCGUGUGGAGUCCCAUGGAGUCGUGUGGAGUCCCGUGGAGUCCCGUGGAGUCGUGUGGAGUCCCGUGGAGUCCCGUGGAGUCCCGUGGAGUCGUGUGGAGUCCUGUGGAGUCGUGUGGAGUCGUGUGGAGUCCUGUGGGCUGGGAAUCCAACCGCCAACCCUACGAUUAGUGGACAACCCGCUCUACCACCUGAGCCACAGUUGAGGGCGGUUACUUACUGAACUACGCACAGGUGAUUUUAAUAAUCUGAAUGUGGAGCUUAAGCAUGUGCGUAACCCGACUCUGAAUACCAGGAACUUCCCUCACAUAAGUCACAUUUGGACUUAAGCUGCUGAAUCUGAAUACAGCUCUAUGUUAUUUUUGGUGUUAUGACUGUCUAAGUUUAUUCACUGCCCUGUCAUGUACCUCUUUCGCUUGCGUUUUGACCUCUGUCAUGGAUCAGCCGUCUAUAAAGAAGCCAAACCGCUGUGUCCUGCCUUUACCUCCCAGCCUGUAAUGUAUACUAUGUCCACUCUGUGAUAUAUUUGAUUUAACACACAGACCGCAUCAAGGUCUGGACAAAAUGUGGUGUGUGUGUGUGUGUGUGUUCUGUCACCUUGUGGUCACUUCUGGCAGGGUUGUAAAGCAAUUUUGAAUGAGAAUUUGUGGUUUUGGCGUGGAAAGACGGGAUCUGAGCAUUUGGGCUAUAAUUACACAGGGCUGGUGUUCACAUCUGUAUUUUAAUAUAUAUGGGAUAUAAAUUCUCUGAGUCUGUAAUUGGCUUCAGGACUGAUUCGGAGCUGGCGCUGCGCUAGCAGAUGACCUGAAACUAACCCCACGUUCACGCUAGCAAGUGACAAGUCGCUCUUCUUGUUGUGUCUCUCGCGGCCGGUGAGAUAACCUUUGUUUACAUUUCGCUGAAAUCAGGGCUCUGUGUCGCGGAUUUGAAGAGGAGCGAGCUGAAUGUGUGAGAGGACAUGUUGGGAUUGUGAAGGUGACAGACAUUUUGACAACUCGCUCACUCACUCCAUCCUGGUCCACUCGUUCCCUCUCCCGCACGCUCGCUCCCUCUCCCGUAUACUCAUACCCUCUCCCGCACGCUCGCUCCCUCUCCC
ensembl:lncRNA